rnacentral:snRNA from 1 species
AGCAAUUAGAGAAGCUCCCU